UAAGUAAGCGGAGGACAAGAAACUAAACAGGAUUCCCUCAGUAAUGGCGAAUGAACAGGGAUGAGCUCAACAUGGAAAUCGUGGCUUCUGGCUAUGAAUUGUAAUUUCAAGAUGUAUCGCCAACGAGGGCGUAGGUGUAAGCCUCUUGGAAAAGAGCAUCAUGGAGGGUGAGAAUCCCGUUUGUCACCUACUGCCCCUCGUGUUUGGCAUACGAUCUUAGAGUCACGUUCCUCGGGAUUGGAGCGCAAAAUGGGUGGUAAAUUUCAUCUCAAGCUAAAUAUGGGUUCGAACCCGAUAGCAAACAAGUACCAUGAGGGAAAGAUGAAAAGGACUUUGAAAAGAGAGUUAAGAGUGCCUGAACUUGCUGAAAGGAAAGCGGAUGGAACUACUUUCUCUUUGGCGAGAUUGUUUCGUGCUCCAGUGACUGUUCGCCGAGCGAGCGCAAGCAGCUCAGCGGAUCUCGACCUGGUCGUGCGGAAUGGUUCUUGCCUCGUCCGUCACUGACUGUGUGGGGGCGGGGAGACCUCUAGGGACAUGGUAGCGCACCUUCGGGGACGCGAACGUGCCUAGCAGUGCUUGCUCGCGUACGGUACCUUCUGCCUCAGAUUGAGCUGCUCUCCUGCGCAAGCGCGCUUGCGCGCGUGCAGCUGCGCGAGGCACCAUUCUGAUGCUUCAUUAGUGGCGAAAUGGUUCCAUUCGACCCGUCUUGAAACACGGACCAAGGAGUCUAACAUAUGUGCGAGUUCUUGGGUACCAAACCUACGUGCGCAAUGAAAGUGAGUACUGAGAUGUUAGCAUCAGCAGCCGACCGAUCGAUUGGGAGAGGUUUGAGCAUGAGCAUAUCUGUUAGGACCCGAAAGAUGGUGAACUAUGCCUGAGAAGGGCAAAGUCUGGGGAAACUCAGAUGGAGGCUCGUAGCGGUACUGACGUGCAAAUCGUUCGUCAUACUUGGGUAUAGGGGCGAAAGACUAAUCGAACCAUC
rnacentral:rRNA from 1 species